ACCCGCUUGCGGGGGAUAGUGGCGAACGGGUGAGUAACACGUGAGUAACCUGCCCUUAACUCUGGGAUAAGCCUUGGAAACGGGGUCUAAUACUGGAUAUUGACUUUACCUCGCAUGGGGUUUUGUUGAAAGAUUUAUUGGUUUUGGAUGGACUCGCGGCCUAUCAGCUUGUUGGUGAGGUAAUGGCUCACCAAGGCGACGACGGGUAGCCGGCCUGAGAGGGUGACCGGCCACACUGGGACUGAGACACGGCCCAGACUCCUACGGGAGGCAGCAGU
rnacentral:rRNA from 1 species